CAAGUACUCCCUCCGUCCGGAAUUACUUGUCAUCAAAAUGGAUGUGUCUAGAACUAAAAUACAUCUAGAUACAUCCAUUUCAAUGACAAAUAUUUUCGGACAGAGGGAGUACAAG
rnacentral:pre_miRNA from 1 species